GACAGAGGCCCCAAGCGUUAGGCGGAAUCACUGGGCUUAAAGCGUGUGUAGGCGGAUCGUUAAGUGUCUUGUGAAAUCCCACGGCUCACCCGUGGAACUGCUGGGCAUACUGGUGAUCUUGGGCCAACUAGGGGCAGUCGGAACAAGCGGUGGAGCGGUGAAAUGCGUAGAUAUCGCUUGGAACGCCGAAGGUGAAAACAGACUGCUGGGGUUGCGCCGACGCUGAGACACGAAAGCCAGGGGAGCAAAUGGG
rnacentral:rRNA from 1 species